rnacentral:misc_RNA from 1 species
GUUUAAAUCAGUAGUACUCUGUAAUGCAGUCAUUUUUACUAGAAAUAAUUAAAAAUAUCUAGUUUACCAAAAAAUAGUUUAAUGAGGACGUGGAACUAGUCCUCUCGCUAAAAUAAUUCACAUUUGAACUGGAAAAUACUCACAGAUUGAUAUUUCUUCCUCGGGUUAACGAUGUUUGGAAUGAAGCUGGUAUAUUCUUGUGUGAGGAGAUAAGUAAAAAUUUUCAAUAUGAAAAAGCCAGUGUUUGAUACUCAAAUUGAUUUCAAUGGACAACAACCAGCUACUCAUACCAGUACCCGAAAAUGGAAUUCCAAGAUAGAUUCUUCGCAUUUGGCCACAGAUCAACAACAAACAAUAUUAUUAUCACAUAGGAAAAUUAUAAGGAGAUGGAACCGACUGUCCCGAUUGCAAAGAUCUUUAGUUUACGCAUUAUUCUUAAUAACAGCAACUGUUUUAGUAUUGUUUUAUUCUUCAAAGCUGAAUGCGGCGAAUGUAAAUAAAAAUAGUGAUAGUAAUAUUGUUGUGGAACCUUUAAAAAACGUGUCCCUAGUCAAUGAACCAGUAGAGAACGUCGUUCAACCUAAGAAGACUGUGGUGGAGAGCGAAGUGAAUGAGAGACCUGUAUUUACAGGGCCGUCUAAUGCUCGUCAGUAUGCUGUUGUUGAAAGCUUUAAACAUGCAUGGAAGGCGUACAAGGAACAUGCGUGGGGUCACGAUAACUUGAAACCACUAUCUGGAAUGGCUUUUGAUUGGUUCUCACUUGGCCUCUCCAUUGUGGAUGGACUGGAUACAGCAUACAUUAUGGGUUUAACUGAAGAAUUUGAAGAGGGCAGGCAAUGGGUUAAGAAUGAACUGGUAUUUACAAAGAAUAAAGAUGUGAACUUCUUCGAGGUAACAAUUAGAGUGCUGGGUGGUUUGUUAACCAACUAUCACUUCACACAAGAUGAAAUGUUUCUCAAUAAAGCUAAAGAUCUAGGUGAUCGUCUGAUGGCAGCAUUCUCAUCUCCAUCUGGUAUACCUUACUCUGAUGUCAAUCUUGGAACCAAAACUGCCCAUGCUCCUGAGUGGUCACACUACAGCACUACUGCUGAAGUCACCACAGUGCAACUUGAGUUCAGAGAACUGUCUAGAGCCAGCAAUGAUCCCGUUUACGAGGAUGCAGCCGCGGCCGUUUCAGAGAAAAUACACCAGUUGCCGAAAAAACACGGCCUAGUCCCAAUAUUCAUUAAUCCCAAUACCGGUCACUUUCUGCCGCAUGCAACCAUCACGCUUGGUGCUCGAGGAGACAGCUACUACGAAUAUUUGCUCAAGCAGUGGAUACAGACAGGAAAAACGAUCAAUUAUUUGCUGGAUGACUACAUGACUGCUAUCGAGGGAGUCAGAGAGUUUCUAGCUAAGCGCUCUUCUCCAAAUAAACAUUUAUUUAUCGGGGAGCUUUCAGCUGGUUCUGAGUCGUUCAACCCAAAGAUGGACCACCUAACGUGCUUCCUGCCGGGCACGUUAGCACUUGGACACGCUAACGAUCUCCCUGAUUGGCACAUGACCAUGGCGGAGGAAUUGCUCUAUACUUGUUACCUUACCUAUGCAGUACAUCCCACAUUUUUGGCGCCGGAGAUCACACACUUCAACCUGGCUAGUGCAACAAACGAUAUGUAUACAAAAACAGCGGACGCACACAAUCUGUUACGGCCGGAGUUUGUCGAGAGCCUGUGGUAUAUGUACCAGAUUACUGGCAACACUACCUACCAGGACUGGGGGUGGCAGAUCUUCCAAAGUUUAGAGAAGUACGCCAAAGUGCCAAAUGGAUACACUUCAUUAGCCAAUGUGAAAUCUGAAAAGCCAUUGCAGCGUGACAUGAUGGAGUCAUUCUUCUUAUCGGAAACCCUCAAGUAUUUAUAUUUGCUGUUCAGUGAUGAUAGAUUUGUCAUAGAUUUGAAUAAGUAUGUCAUCAAUUCGGAGGCUCAUCCUUUACCUAUACAUAAAAACUAAUGUACUUCCAAAGAAAAAUAGUAAGAGCAGGAACUAGUUAAUAAAUGUAUUUAUCAUAUUGUUGGCCAAUGUUUAUUAUGAACUUGAAGGCUGACAGAAAUUGGCAAUUCCUCUGAUGUUGCUAGUGUAGCCAUGUGUUGGAUGCUUGUUUGCCUCUAUUUUCAUAAAAAAAAUCUAAAAAUAUAAAAGAUAAAAUAUUACAAAAACGUAGUCACCUUCUAAAUAUAUAGCAUACUUUUAUUUUAAGUAUACUGGUAUUAGUUUUCGUAAUUUUAAUGAUUUCUCCUUAUAAUGGAUAGCAGAUUAUAACUAUAAGAUUUUGUCCCUUUUAUUUGACGUCUACAGUAAUUUUUAAAAGAUUGAUAGCUCUUGAUUUCUUUAAUAGAGCGCGCAUGUUGUGUUACUAAAACAAAGUACGUAGUUAAACAUCCUCAAAGGUAGAGUAAUCGUUAAUGUCAUUCUUAGAUUAAUCAUAAUGAUUACUCGAAUAGAAAAUUUGAGCACGUAACUGUAAUUAUGUACUUUGCCUAAAACGUGAUGUGUGUAUACUUAUAACUUUAUUUUACACUUAGCAUUUAUAUCCUACUUAGUAUAAACAGUGCCAGUUAGACUGGUAAAAUUAGAAUAAUUAAUGUAAAAUAUGUAUACACAAUAUUAAAAAAUGUAAUAUUUGCCGAUAUAACAAAUUUUAAACAAUUUAAUUUAAUAAGCUGGAUCAAAGGUUUUAUUGCGAUUAGAUCGGCAAUGAAAAAAAAAUGUAACUCCUUUAAAAUUAUUUUAUUAUUGAUAUUCGGUUUCGAAGUACAUUAUUUUUUAUUUAUAUUAUAUAAUUGUAAAACAAUUAUUUUAAAACAUGCACUAGUUAGUGAAAUCAAUUUAGUACAUAAGUAGCUAACCCAAUUCCUCAACAUCAACAAUUAAUGUAUAAAAUUUUUAUUUUAUUAUUAUUUUUUAUAUUUAUAAUUUGGGUUUAUCCUGUUCGUGGAUUGUUCACCGAAUCUUGCUUUUGCAGGCAUUUAUUUUACCAUUACAAGUGAAGCUAUUAUAAAAAAAAAAACAUAUAUUAUGAAAUAGAUAUUCUUAAGACGGUUAAAAAUAAAAAGUUAACGUAACUUACAAGGUUCGAUAAAUAGAGAUCUGUGAAUCGAAGCGUUUGGAGUUCUAGUUCUUCCAUUAGAGUUGACACAUUUUCUCAGUUAUUUGCUCAUUAGAUGCUUUACUAUUAGAUAUUACGCUUUCAUUUUGUUUUUUUUUUUUUGAAACAUCAAGGAUAGAUCCUUGCCAACUCAAAGCAAUAAUGUUGAUCUAUCCUAAUUAAGUACAAUUAGUACAGUAUUACAUUGGUCAUGGACAUCUAUCAUUAGAUUUAUAUUUUAUAUUACAAUAUCCCACUUGCACUAAUAAGUACUUACAUUAAUACGAAUUUAUGAAUUACUAGCACUAAAAUACUUUUAACGUUAAUAAUUUUAUUGAUGUUUGUGCAAAUUGGCAUUUGUAAUAUAAUUUUUACUAUUAAGAACGUAAACGUGAGAUUAUUUAAAUAUAGAAAUGAU